rnacentral:ncRNA from 1 species
CAUAAAUAUGGUGCCUAUAGAAAUAUAGGAGAAUUGGGAAGCAACGGUGCGAAUCCGGCGCAACAGCCAUUACUGUAAUUGACAAAGAGAGGAACCAAUGCCAUUGGGACUGCUGUUCUGAGAAGGCGUUCUUCUUCGGUGAAGCCGUAAGUCAUAAGCCAGGAAACCAGCCAUGUUUGUU